rnacentral:rRNA from 1 species
GUCCAGACUCCUACGGGAGGCAGCAGUGGGGAAUAUUGGGCAAUGGGCGCAAGCCUGACCCAGCAACGCCGCGUGAAGGAAGAAGGCUUUCGGGUUAUAAACUUCUUUUCUCAGGGACGAAGCAAGUGACGGUACCUGAGGAAUAAGCCACGGCUAACUACGUGCCAGCAGCCGCGGUAAUACGUAGGUGGCAAGCGUUAUCCGGAUUUACUGGGUGUAAAGGGCGUGUAGGCGGGACUGCAAGUCAGAUGUGAAAACCACGGGCUCAACCUGUGGCCUGCAUUUGAAACUGUAGUUCUUGAGUACUGGAGAGGCAGACGGAAUUCCUAGUGUAGCGGUGAAAUGCGUAGAUAUUAGGAGGAACACCAGUGGCGAAGGCAGCCUCCUGGGACGCAACUGACGCUCAUACACGAAAGCGUGGGGAGCAAACAGGAUUAGAUACCCGGGUAA